UGAAGCCCAACUGCUUUUAGGGAAGUUU
rnacentral:piRNA from 2 species